rnacentral:rRNA from 1 species
GGGUUGUGAGGUUAAGCGACUAAGCGUACACGGUGGAUGCCCUGGCAGUCAGAGGCGAUGAAGGACGUGCUAAUCUGCGAUAAGCGUCGGUAAGGUGAUAUGAACCGUUAUAACCGGCGAUUUCCGAAUGGGGAAACCCAGUGUGUUUCGACACACUAUCAUUAACUGAAUCCAUAGGUUAAUGAGGCGAACCGGGGGAACUGAAACAUCUAAGUACCCCGAGGAAAAGAAAUCAACCGAGAUUCCCCCAGUAGCGGCGAGCGAACGGGGAGCAGCCCAGAGCCUGAAUCAGUGUGUGUGUUAGUGGAAGCGUCUGGAAAGGCGCGCGAUACAGGGUGACAGCCCCGUACACAAAAAUGCACAUAUUGUGAGCUCGAUGAGUAGGGCGGGACACGUGGUAUCCUGUCUGAAUAUGGGGGGACCAUCCUCCAAGGCUAAAUACUCCUGACUGACCGAUAGUGAACCAGUACCGUGAGGGAAAGGCGAAAAGAACCCCGGCGAGGGGAGUGAAAAAGAACCUGAAACCGUGUACGUACAAGCAGUGGGAGCACGCUUAGGCGUGUGACUGCGUACCUUUUGUAUAAUGGGUCAGCGACUUAUAUUCUGUAGCAAGGUUAACCGAAUAGGGGAGCCGAAGGGAAACCGAGUCUUAACUGGGCGUUAAGUUGCAGGGUAUAGACCCGAAACCCGGUGAUCUAGCCAUGGGCAGGUUGAAGGUUGGGUAACACUAACUGGAGGACCGAACCGACUAAUGUUGAAAAAUUAGCGGAUGACUUGUGGCUGGGGGUGAAAGGCCAAUCAAACCGGGAGAUAGCUGGUUCUCCCCGAAAGCUAUUUAGGUAGCGCCUCGUGAAUUCAUCUCCGGGGGUAGAGCACUGUUUCGGCAAGGGGGUCAUCCCGACUUACCAACCCGAUGCAAACUGCGAAUACCGGAGAAUGUUAUCACGGGAGACACACGGCGGGUGCUAACGUCCGUCGUGAAGAGGGAAACAACCCAGACCGCCAGCUAAGGUCCCAAAGUCAUGGUUAAGUGGGAAACGAUGUGGGAAGGCCCAGACAGCCAGGAUGUUGGCUUAGAAGCAGCCAUCAUUUAAAGAAAGCGUAAUAGCUCACUGGUCGAGUCGGCCUGCGCGGAAGAUGUAACGGGGCUAAACCAUGCACCGAAGCUGCGGCAGCGACGCUUAUGCGUUGUUGGGUAGGGGAGCGUUCUGUAAGCCUGCGAAGGUGUGCUGUGAGGCAUGCUGGAGGUAUCAGAAGUGCGAAUGCUGACAUAAGUAACGAUAAAGCGGGUGAAAAGCCCGCUCGCCGGAAGACCAAGGGUUCCUGUCCAACGUUAAUCGGGGCAGGGUGAGUCGACCCCUAAGGCGAGGCCGAAAGGCGUAGUCGAUGGGAAACAGGUUAAUAUUCCUGUACUUGGUGUUACUGCGAAGGGGGGACGGAGAAGGCUAUGUUGGCCGGGCGACGGUUGUCCCGGUUUAAGCGUGUAGGCUGGUUUUCCAGGCAAAUCCGGAAAAUCAAGGCUGAGGCGUGAUGACGAGGCACUACGGUGCUGAAGCAACAAAUGCCCUGCUUCCAGGAAAAGCCUCUAAGCAUCAGGUAACAUCAAAUCGUACCCCAAACCGACACAGGUGGUCAGGUAGAGAAUACCAAGGCGCUUGAGAGAACUCGGGUGAAGGAACUAGGCAAAAUGGUGCCGUAACUUCGGGAGAAGGCACGCUGAUAUGUAGGUGA